rnacentral:lncRNA from 1 species
GAUGGCGCUGAAGAGGUUCAUCCACUGGAGUGGUCCAGCUAUUGGAAUCCGUGUGCCGUAGGAGUUCGUCCGGAGUCUAUCCAUUACAGGAGUUUAGAGCGAAAGUUCGGCUUUCGUAGGAGUCCGAAUGAAGUCUUUCUGCAGUCGGAGUCAGGGACGAAGUCUGGCUCCCGUAGGAGUCCAGAUGAAGUCUUCCUGUAGUUGGAGUCGGGGAUGAAGUCCGACUCCCGUAGGAGUCCGAAUGAAGUCUUCCUACAGUUG